GACGAACGCUGGCGGCGUGCUUAACACAUGCAAGUCGAACGGAAAGGCCCUGCUUUUGUGGGGUGCUCGAGUGGCGAACGGGUGAGUAACACGUGAGUAACCUGCCCUUGACUUUGGGAUAACUUCAGGAAACUGGGGCUAAUACCGGAUAGGAGCUCCUGCUGCAUGGUGGGGGUUGGAAAGUUUCGGCGGUUGGGGAUGGACUCGCGGCUUAUCAGCUUGUUGGUGGGGUAGUGGCUUACCAAGGCUUUGACGGGUAGCCGGCCUGAGAGGGUGACCGGCCAAAUGGGAACGGGGAUACGGCCCAAAUCCUUAGGGGAGGAAGAGUGGGGGAAAAUGGAAAAAGGGGGGGAACCUGAAGGAGGAAACGCGGGGGGGGGAAGAAGGGCUUCGGGUUGUAAACCGCUUUCGCCUGUGACGAAGCGUGAGUGACGGUAAUGGGUAAAGAAGCACCGGCUAACUACGUG
rnacentral:rRNA from 1 species